rnacentral:rRNA from 1 species
UACGGGGGGAGCAAGCGUUUGUUCGGAUUUACUGGGCGUAAAGGGCGCGUAGGCGGUCAGCACAAGUCAGUUGUGAAAUCUCCCGAGCUUAACUCGGAAAGGUCAACUGAUACUGUGCGACUAGAGUGCGGAAGGGGCAACUGGAAUUCUUGGUGUAGCGGUGAAAUGCGUAGAUAUCUGGAGGAACACCGGGUGGCGAAGGCGGCGUCCUGACCAACACUGAGCACUGAGGAGCGAAAGCCAGGGGAGCAAAGCAGG